AUUGAACGCUGGCGGCAUGCCUUACACAUGCAAGUCGAACGGCAGCACGGGUGCUUGCACCUGGUGGCGAGUGGCGAACGGGUGAGUAAUAUAUCGGAACGUACCUUAUUGUGGGGGAUAACGCAGCGAAAGCUGUGCUAAUACCGCAUAAUCCCUAAGGGGGAAAGCGGGGGACCGUAAGGCCUCGCGCAAUUAGAGCGGCCGAUAACUGAUUAGCUAGUUGGUGAGGGAAAGGCUCACCAAGGCAACGAUCAGUAGCUGGUCUGAGAGGACGACCAGGCACACUGGAACUGCGACACGGUCCAGACGCCUACGGGAGGCAGCAGUGGGGAAUUUUGGACAAUGGGGGCAACCCUGAUCCAGCGAUGCCGCGUGAGUGAAGAAGGCCUUCGGGUUGUAAAGCUCUUUUGUCAGGGAAGAAAAGGCUGUGGCUAAUAUCCACAGCUGCUGACGGUACCUGAAGAAUAAGCACCGGCUAACUACGUGCCAGCCGCCGCCGUAA
rnacentral:rRNA from 1 species